UACGUAGGGUGCGAGCGUUGUCCGGAAUUAUUGGGCGUAAAGGGCUCGUAGGCGGUUUGUCGCGUCGGGAGUGAAAACCAGGUGCUUAACCCCAGAACUGCUUCCGAUACGGGCAGACUAGAGGUAGGUAGGGGAGAAUGGAAUUCCUGGAGUAGCGGUGAAAUGCGCAGAUAUCAGGAGGAACACCGAUUGCGAAGGCAGCUCGCUGGAACGUAACUGACGCUGAGACGCGAAAGCGUGGGGAGCAAACAGG
rnacentral:rRNA from 1 species